AUGAACAAGACCUCAGGGAAAAUUCUGAAGAUCAGAGAGAAAUUUGAAUGCCUAGCAGGAGAAUUAAUAAUGAGAGAAUGCAUAUUCACAAUUUUCGGCCGCGAGACCUGGUAUUCAUAUAUGUUUCCGGCCAAACCGUUGGCGUGCAGCAUACACACACACACUAACAGUGUAAACCGUAGAAACGAACUACAAGAUGUCUACCCUGUACUGAGAUAUCUUUCGACGUUUUGGCAACAGCCUAUGUAUUCGAAGAGGUCUCAUCUGGUUCAUUCAGCUAAUCGUUCGAGGAGCAGGUUAUGUUUCUUAGUCAACGUAUUGCGUGAGCUAACUGUGCGACAUCAGUUUGCUGGCUUCAGGAACGGCCAGGCCGAGGAGCAGAGGUCAGGUGCGGUGUUCCCGUCGCCGUCCUUAAUCUGGAGAUCAGCAUGGUGCUUCACAAGAAGUUGGGCGAUGUCUUCCUUCUCACAACGGACAGCAUAA
rnacentral:rRNA from 1 species